CACAUACUCCCUCCGUCUCAAAAUUCUUGUCUUAAAUUUGUUUAGAUAUGAAUGUNNNNNGUCAAGUUUUAGUAUUUAGAUACAUUCAUUUUUAGACAAAGCUAAGACAAAAAAAUUGAAACCGAGGGAGUACUAU
rfam:Hordeum vulgare subsp. vulgare, WGS project CAJW01000000 data, contig: morex_contig_55083